GUAAACGGCGGCCGUAACUAUAACGGUCCUAAGGUAGCGAAAUUCCUUGUCGGGUAAGUUCCGACCUGCACGAAUGGCGUAAUGAUGGCCAGGCUGUCUCCACCCGAGACUCAGUGAAAUUGAACUCGCUGUGAAGAUGCAGUGUACCCGCGGCAAGACGGAAAGACCCCGUGAACCUUUACUAUAGCUUGACACUGAACAUUGAGCCUUGAUGUGUAGGAUAGGUGGGAGGCUUUGAAGUGUGGACGCCAGUCUGCAUGGAGCCGACCUUGAAAUACCACCCUUUAAUGUUUGAUGUUCUAACGUGGACCCGUAAUCCGGGUUGCGGACAGUGUCUGGUGGGUAGUUUGACUGGGGCGGUCUCCUCCUAAAGAGUAACGGAGGAGCACGAAGGUUGGCUAAUCCUGGUCGGACAUCAGGAGGUUAGUGCAAUGGCAUAAGCCAGCUUGACUGCGAGCGUGACGGCGCGAGCAGGUGCGAAAGCAGGUCAUAGUGAUCCGGUGGUUCUGAAUGGAAGGGCCAUCGCUCAACGGAUAAAAGGUACUCCGGGGAUAACAGGCUGAUACCGCCCAAGAGUUCAUAUCGACGGCGGUGUUUGGCACCUCGAUGUCGGCUCAUCACAUCCUGGGGCUGAAGUAGGUCCCAAGGGUAUGGCUGUUCGCCAUUUAAAGUGGUACGCGAGCUGGGUUUAGAACGUCGUGAGACAGUUCGGUCCCUAUCUGCCGUGGGCGCUGGAGAACUGAGGGGGGCUGCUCCUAGUACGAGAGGACCGGAGUGGACGCAUCACUGGUGUUCGGGUUGUCAUGCCAAUGGCACUGCCCGGUAGCUAAAUGCGGAAGAGAUAAGUGCUGAAAGCAUCUAAGCACGAAACUUGCCCCGAGAUGAGUUCUCCCUGACUCCUUGAGAGUCCUGAAGGAACGUUGAAGACGACGACGUUGAUAGGCCGGGUGUGUAAGCGCAGCGAUGCGUUGAGCUAACCGGUACUAAUGAACCGUGAGGCUUAACCUU
rnacentral:rRNA from 2 species